UACGGGGGGGGCGAGCGUUGUUCGGAAUUACUGGGCGUAAAGGGCGCGUAGGCGGGCGGGUAAGUCUCUCGUGAAAGCCCACGGCUCAACCGUGGAAUUGCGGGAGAUACUACUUGUCUUGAGUCCGGGAGAGGAGUGGGGAAUUCCCAGUGUAGCGGUGAAAUGCGUAGAUAUUGGGAGGAACCCCGGUGGCGAAGGCGGCACUCUGGACCGGAACUGACGCUGAGGCGCGAAAGCUACGGGAGCAAACGGG
rnacentral:rRNA from 1 species